UACGAAGGGAGCUAGCGUUGUUCGGAAUCACUGGGCGUAAAGCGCACGUAGGCGGACUUGUCAGUCAGGGGUGAAAUCCCGGGGCUCAACCUCGGAACUGCCUCUGAUACAGCAAGUCUUGAGUCCGGAAGAGGUGGGUGGAAUUCCUAGUGUAGAGGUGAAAUGCGUAGAGAUGUGGAGGAACACCAAUGGCGAAGGCAGCCUUCUGGGCCAACACUGACGCUCAUGCACGAAAGCGUGGGGAGCAAACAGG
rnacentral:rRNA from 1 species